CUUCUCUGUCAUACUGGCCCACAAUAAUUUCAAGUGUCUAUUAGAGCACAUUGCUCUUGAUAUAAAAACACUAAAUAUUUUUUCUAAUCUCAGUUUAGCAAGUCCAAAUCUUAGGCCCUUGGAUGACAUCAUAACAGACAAUGGUCAUUGGAGUUAAAAAAAAAAAAAGGGGGUGGUUAAAUCAUAGAGCUAUUAACUAGCUAUGUAAUCUUGGGAAAUUUACUUAGACUCUAACAGUCUGUCUCUUAAUUUGUAAAAUGAAAAAUAUAUAACCAAUCAAUAAGAUUUUAUGGAAGAAUUAGAGCAAAUAAAUGCAAAAUGGUUAGUACAUGCAGAAUUCUCUCCCUGACCCCCUAGGGCUAGGGUCAGGGAGGAAAUGAGUUAUUAGAACAAAGAAGUUUGGAGAAUGGCCCUACAACACUGAGAUCCAGAACCCUGAAGAAGAAGCUCUGCCUGGCUGAUGCUGAUGACUCUGAUGCUCAGAGAAGAGUUCCCAGGAAGCAGGACUCAGCUGGUACAGACAUUUGUGAGGAAGAGGCUGAGUAUGGGCAAACGGAGAAAAAACUGCAAACAGAAACAAACUGCUGUAAGCCUUUGCUGCUGGACCAAGACAUGGCUCAGGCGAGAGCAGGAAGCCAGCAGGAAGAAGAGUGACCAUUUUCUUCCCUCCUCCUGCCUUCUAGAAUCCCUCUAGUGUUCUCUGUUGACAGAACCUCAUGAUAACCAGCUGGCAAAGCAGCAAUGCAGUCUGUGGAGUCCCAGACACAGCAAGACCAGAGUAUAGAAGAUUAAGUUUGAAUCUGAAAAUCAGUACCUUGAUAACCAGCACAUUAUUUUGUUUUUAAUCAUUUGUUAUUUACCCAUAAAUUCUGCUCACAGUUGUCUUGGGUCAACUUCAAUAAUGGAGUCCUGGACCAAAUGACCUUGAUUCUGUGUCCAAUAUGAGUUUGUCCAUCUCUGCCAAUACUUCCUCCACCAAACAAGGCCUAUCUUUCAGUGGAUAAAAUUAAGUAAUGGCAUAAUGCUAGAGUCUUAAAUAUGAAGGCGGUGCUGGUUAUACACAGAAAGAAUUCCUCUGAUGAACACUUGUGCCAGGCAACACAACAGCAAACCAUCCUCCUUCCCAGAACUUUGUUAUUGAGUCUUCAGAUGCUGCUAUUUUUGCCCUGGGAGAAAGAUCCAGCUUAAUCCUUUCUUGACUGGAGGGCCCAGGACAUGAAGAGUCUAGAGUCAGUGGAACACGCAAAGCUCAUCCCUGCUGGCAAUGAGCUUUAGGGAGUCACUCAAGCCAGAAAAGGCAAUUUGGACUUCAAAUUCUGCUGUCUGUCCAGUUGAGCAGCAGCAGCCAUUUGGAACCAAGAAGAUAACCUUGAGGAUAAGAUCCACAUUCUGAGAUGAGAAGCAAAAGGGGCACAAGACCAAGAGAAUCUGCAGGCUUUUAAAGCCCUUCCAACUAGAGAGGAAGACUCAAUUUGAUACUACUCAAUCAGUGAUCCAAUACUAAGAUUUCAGAGGUUCCCACAGUCAUCACCUUCAGUCAUAGGAAACUUCUCGCCACUAAGUUUCUCCUGCGUGAAGGGAGAAAAACACACGAAGUAGGGACACGAUGACUCAGGAGUCAAGCACAUGAGAGCAGACGUCAGUUCCUCCACAUACCAGAGCUACAGAAACAGAUCAGUGACGAGUGCGACAGAAUAAGCCUCUCCCCGCCAAAGACCAAGUGUCCACAUCCUUUAACCCCGUCUUCCGUCAACCGUCCUUCAGCUAGAGUGCAAGCUGGAAAUAAUUCAAUCAAUUCAUUUGUGUGAAAUACAAUCUUUACU
ensembl:lncRNA